GGGACUAUAGUUAACAAUAACAUUUGAGUUGCAUUCAAAAAGUACUGCUUGGGCAGUUAGCCUCA
rnacentral:tRNA from 3 species